rnacentral:ncRNA from 1 species
AAGUCGUAACAAGGUUUGGAAACAACAAGCUCUGUAAGAAUAAUGAUUCUUCUGUAGUGUACGCUUGCUGAAGCCUUUGCAGCCACGCAAGUGGUAGAUAUAGCAACGACUAUAAAUAAUUAUUAUAUCGCUAUGCAAGUCAGUAGUUAAAUGAAGCUCUGGCGACACUUUCGAACUGACGGGGGACACCCUAAAGCCUGUUGCACCAACUUGGGUAGGAAACUAGCCCAAGGGCCCAUGCUAAUUACAUGGGAGACGGUAAAAGACAAUAUGGAUAAUUCUUUCACUUUUAAUGUUAGAAAUUAUGGGUAAUCCGCAGCGAAGCCUCUAAGUUCAUUAGAAUAUGAGGAACGUUCACAGACUAAGUGGAAGUGGGUGAAGUAUUUGAACUUUGCUUAAGAUAUAGUCGGGCUCUUUAAGAAAUUAGGGAGAUUAAAAGUAUACUCUAAAAACCGUUCCGUAGGUGAACCUGCGGAAGGAUCAUUACAGUGAAAUGCUGUAGACUUGGUGUCUUUGGAUAAAACACUGAUGUAUUCUAAGGCUACGGCUUUAUUAUGCUGAGGUGGCCUGCAAAGGAAUCCAGCACCGCCCAACCUUGUCAAUAUAUUACAACGUUACCUCGGCAGGUUUGCCUGCCGGUGGACACUAAAAACCUUUUAAAUUUACGCUUUAUUUAGUGAGUUGUCUGAUAAUAAAUUUAAUAAAUUUAAAA